rnacentral:rRNA from 1 species
UAGCAGAGGGUGCGAGCGUAAUCGGAAUUACUGGGCGUAAAGCGUGCGUUAGACGGUGAGCGAUAAGUCAGAUGUGAAAGCCCCGGGCUCAACCUGGGAAUGGCAUUUGAGACUGCUCUGCUCGGGUGCGGAAGAGGGAAGCGGAAUUUCCGGUGUAGCGGUGAAAUGCGUAGAUAUCGGAAGGAACACCAGUGGCGAAAGCGG